rnacentral:rRNA from 1 species
UACCAGCACCCCGAGUGGUCGGGACGUUUAUUGGGCCUAAAGCAUCCGUAGCCGGUUCUACAAGUCUUCCGUUAAAUCCAACUGCUUAACAGGUGGGCUGCGGAAGAUACUAUAGAGCUAGGAGGCGGGAGAGGCAAGCGGUACUCGAUGGGUAGGGUAAAAUCCGUUGAUCCAUUGAAGACCACCAGUGGCGAAGGCGGCUUGCCAGAACGCGCUCGACGGUGAGGGAUGAAAGCUGGGGGAGCAAACCGG